UACGAAGGGGGCUAGCGUUGUCCGGAAUCAUUGGGCGUAAAGAGCGUGUAGGCGGCCCGGUAAGUCCGCUGUGAAAGUCGGGGGCUCAACCCUCGAAUGCCGGUGGAUACUGUCGGGCUAGAGUGCGGAAGAGGCGAGUGGAAUUCCUGGUGUAGCGGUGAAAUGCGUAGAUAUCGAGAGGAACACCUGCGGCGAAGGCGGGUAGCUGGGCCGACACUGACGCUGAGGCGCGAAAGCCAGGGGAGCGAACGGG
rnacentral:rRNA from 1 species